GUGAAGGUGGCCUGUGAGGGUUGCUGGAGGUAUCAGAAGUGCGAAUGCUGACAUAAGUAACGAUAAAGCGGGUGAAAAGCCCGCUCGCCGGAAGACCAAGGGUUCCUGUCCAACGUUAAUCGGGGCAGGGUGAGUCGACCCCUAAGGCGAGGCCGAAAGGCGUAGUCGAUGGGAAACGGGUUAAUAUUCCCGUACUUGGUGUUACUGCGAAGGGGGGACGGAGAAGGCUAUGUUGGCCGGGCGACGGUUGUCCCGGUUUAAGCAUGUAGGCGGGUGUUCCAGGUAAAUCCGGAACGCUGUUAACGCUGAGGUGUGACGACGAGGCACUACGGUGCUGAAGCAACAAAUGCCCUGCUUCCAGGAAAAGCCUCUAAGCAUCAGGUAACAUCAAAUCGUACCCCAAACCGACACAGGUGGUCAGGUAGAGAAUACCAAGGCGCUUGAGAGAACUCGGGUGAAGGAACUAGGCAAAAUGGUGCCGUAACUUCGGGAGAAGGCACGCUGACACGUAGGUGAAGUGAUUUACUCAUGGAGCUGAAGUCAGUCGAAGAUACCAGCUGGCUGCAACUGUUUAUUAAAAACACAGCACUGUGCAAACACGAAAGUGGACGUAUACGGUGUGACGCCUGCCCGGUGCCGGAAGGUUAAUUGAUGGGGUCAGCGCAAGCGAAGCUCCUGAUCGAAGCCCCGGUAAACGGCGGCCGUAACUAUAACGGUCCUAAGGUAGCGAAAUUCCUUGUCGGGUAAGUUCCGACCUGCACGAAUGGCGUAAUGAUGGCCAGGCUGUCUCCACCCGAGACUCAGUGAAAUUGAACUCGCUGUGAAGAUGCAGUGUACCCGCGGCAAGACGGAAAGACCCCGUGAACCUUUACUAUAGCUUGACACUGAACAUUGAGCCUUGAUGUGUAGGAUAGGUGGGAGGCUUUGAAGUGUGGACGCCAGUCUGCAUGGAGCCGACCUUGAAAUACCACCCUUUAAUGUUUGAUGUUCUAACGUGGACCCGUGAUCCGGGUUGCGGACAGUGUCUGGUGGGUAGUUUGACUGGGGCGGUCUCCUCC
rnacentral:rRNA from 1 species